AAUGAAGUCUGGAAUGAAAGGGGGAACGGAAUUUAGCUGUCUUAAUAUUUUUAAACUGAAUUUACUAACUAACUGAAAAGGCUUAGAUAAGAUAAAAGACGAGAAGACCCUAAGAGUUUUAAGUAAAUUUUUGUUGGGGCGACAUAGGGUCAAUUUUAAACACCCUCAAACUAUAGGACGGAUAUAUCAUGUUUAGAUAAACUACCUUAGGGAUAACAGCAUAAUUCUAUUUGAGUUUGUGACCUCGAUGUUGGACUAGGAAGCCUUUAGGCUAGCUGCCUAAUAGGGGGAUUCUGUUCGAAUUUUUACUCCU
rnacentral:rRNA from 1 species